ACACAUGCAAGUCGAGCGGUAGCACAGAGAGCUUGCUCUCGGGUGACGAGCGGCGGACGGGUGAGUAAUGUCUGGGAAACUGCCUGAUGGAGGGGGAUAACUACUGGAAACGGUAGCUAAUACCGCAUAAUGUCGCAAGACCAAAGUGGGGGACCUUCGGGCCUCAUGCCAUCAGAUGUGCCCAGAUGGGAUUAGCUAGUAGGUGGGGUAACGGCUCACCUAGGCGACGAUCCCUAGCUGGUCUGAGAGGAUGACCAGCCACACUGGAACUGAGACACGGUCCAGACUCCUACGGGAGGCAGCAGUGGGGAAUAUUGCACAAUGGGCGCAAGCCUGAUGCAGCCAUGCCGCGUGUGUGAAGAAGGCCUUCGGGUUGUAAAGCACUUUCAGCGGGGAGGAAGGCGUUAAGGUUAAUAACCUUGUCGAUUGACGUUACCCGCAGAAGAAGCACCGGCUAACUCCGUGCCAGCAGCCGCGGUAAUACGGAGGGUGCAAGCGUUAAUCGGAAUUACUGGGCGUAAAGCGCACGCAGGCGGUCUGUCAAGUCGGAUGUGAAAUCCCCGGGCUCAACCUGGGAACUGCAUUCGAAACUGGCAGGCUAGAGUCUUGUAGAGGGGGGUAGAAUUCCAGGUGUAGCGGUGAAAUGCGUAGAGAUCUGGAGGAAUACCGGUGGCGAAGGCGGCCCCCUGGACAAAGACUGACGCUCAGGUGCGAAAGCGUGGGGAGCAAACAGGAUUAGAUACCCUGGUAGUCCACGCCGUAAACGAUGUCGAUUUGGAGGUUGUGCCCUUGAGGCGUGGCUUCCGGAGCUAACGCGUUAAAUCGACCGCCUGGGGAGUACGGCCGCAAGGUUAAAACUCAAAUGAAUUGACGGGGGCCCGCACAAGCGGUGGAGCAUGUGGUUUAAUUCGAUGCAACGCGAAGAACCUUACCUGGUCUUGACAUCCACAGAACUUUCCAGAGAUGGAUUGGUGCCUUCGGGAACUGUGAGACAGGUGCUGCAUGGCUGUCGUCAGCUCGUGUUGUGAAAUGUUGGGUUAAGUCCCGCAACGAGCGCAACCCUUAUCCUUUGUUGCCAGCGGUUAGGCCGGGAACUCAAAGGAGACUGCCAGUGAUAAACUGGAGGAAGGUGGGGAUGACGUCAAGUCAUCAUGGCCCUUACGACCAGGGCUACACACGUGCUACAAUGGCAUAUACAAAGAGAAGCGACCUCGCGAGAGCAAGCGGACCUCAUAAAGUAUGUCGUAGUCCGGAUUGGAGUCUGCAACUCGACUCCAUGAAGUCGGAAUCGCUAGUAAUCGUAGAUCAGAAUGCUACGGUGAAUACGUUCCCGGGCCUUGUACACACCGCCCGUCACACCAUGGGAGUGGGUUGCAAAAGAAGUAGGUAGCUUAACCUUCGGGAGGGCGCUUACCACUUU
rnacentral:rRNA from 1 species